rnacentral:rRNA from 1 species
UACGUAGGGCGCAAGCGUUUGUCCGGAAUUAUUGGGCGUAAAGAGCUCGUAGGCGGUUUUGUCGCGUCUGCUGUGAAAACCCGAGGCUCAACCUCGGGCCUGCAGUGGGUACGGGCAGACUAGAGUGUGGUAGGGGAGACUGGAAUUCCUGGUGUAGCGGUGGAAUGCGCAGAUAUCAGGAGGAACACCGGUGGGCGAAGGCGGGUCUCUGGGCGAGUAACUGAC